GAAUUCACUAGUGAUUUCUGGUUGAUCCUGCCAGACCCGACUGCUAUCAGAGUGGGACUAAGCCAUGCGAGUCAACGUAGCAAUGCGUGGCGAACGGCUCAGUAACACGUAGUCAACAUGCCCAGGGGACGUGGAUAACCUCGGGAAACUGAGAUUAAACCGCGAUAGGUCAAGAUUUCUGGGAUGGAUCGUGUCUUAAAUCUACAUGGCCCCUGGAUUGGACUGCGGCCGAUCAGGCUGUUGGUGAGGUAAUGGCCCACCAAACCUAUAACCGGUACGGGCUCUGAGAGGAGAAGCCCGGAGAUGGGCACUGAGACAAGGGCCCAGGCCCUAUGGGGCGCAGCAGGCGCGAAACCUCUGCAAUGGGCGAAAGCCUGACAGGGUUACUCUGAGUGAUUUCCGCUAAGGAGAUCUUUUGGCAGCUCUAAAAAUGGUGCAGAAUAAGGGGUGGGCAAGUCUGGUGUCAGCCGCCGCGGUAAUACCAGCACCCCGAGUGGUCGGGACGAUUAUUGGGCCUAAAGCAUCCGUAGCCGGUUGUGCAAGUCCUCCGUUAAAUCCAGCCGCUCAACGGAUGGGCCGCGGAGGAUACUACAGGACUAGGAGGCGGGAGAGGCAAGCGGUACUUAGUGGGUAGGGGUAAAAUCCUUUGAUCCAUUGAAGACCACCAGUGGCGAAGGCGGCUUGCCAGAACGCGCUCGACGGUGAGGGAUGAAAGCUGGGGGAGCAAACCGGAUUAGAUACCCGGGUAGUCCCAGCUGUAAACGAUGCAGACUCGGUGAUGGGCUAGCCUCGUGUCAGCCCAGUGCCGCAGGGAAGCCGUUAAGUCUGCCGCCUGGGGAGUACGGUCGCAAGACUGAAACUUAAAGGAAUUGGCGGGGGAGCACCACAAGGGGUGAAGCCUGCGGUUCAAUUGGAUUCAACGCCGGAAAUCGAAUUCCCGCGGCC
rnacentral:rRNA from 1 species